rnacentral:rRNA from 1 species
UACGAAGGGUGCAAGCGUUACUCGGAAUUACUGGGCGUAAAGCGUGCGUAGGUGGUUUGUUAAGUCUGAUGUGAAAGCCCUGGGCUCAACCUGGGAAUGGCAUUGGAAACUGGCAGGCUAGAGUGCGGUAGAGGAUGGCGGAAUUCCCGGUGUAGCAGUGAAAUGCGUAGAGAUCGGGAGGAACAUCUGUGGCGAAGGCGGCCAUCUGGACCAGCACUGACACUGAGGCACGAAAGCGUGGGGAGCAAAC